GAAUCCCCGGACCAUUCGGUGGGAAGACGCAAGGCUUCCACGCCCAUGGAUCUGUAGGGUGAGCCAGCAGCCAAACGCGCGCAAAUGUAAAGAUGGCCAGAAACCACAGGGAUUGCAAAUGAGUUGGCAGGUGAGAGCAGAACAAUUGGCAAAAUGAGAGAGUGAGAGAGAUAAGCAGGGUCUACAGGCUGAUCAUGGAUCAUCCUGAUCCUCAGGACCUAACUCCUCCCUGUCUGAUGAAGAGCGG
rnacentral:lncRNA from 1 species